rnacentral:rRNA from 1 species
AGAACGAACGCUGGCGGCAUGCCUAACACACGCAAGUCGCACGGUCCUUUCGGGGGCAGUGGCGAACGGGUGAGUAACGCGUGGGAACCUGCCCUGGAGUGGGGGAUAACCAUUGGAAACGGUGGCUAAUACCGCAUGUGCCCUGAGGGGCAAAGCAGCAAUGCGCUCUGGGAGGGGCCCGCGUCCGAUUAGCUAGUUGGUGGGGUGACGGCCUACCAAGGCGACGAUCGGUAGCUGGUCUGAGAGGAUGAUCAGCCACACUGGGACUGAGACACGGCCCAGACUCCUACGGGAGGCAGCAGUGGGGAACAUUGGACAAUGGGCGCAAAGCCUGAUCCAGCAAAUGCCGCGUGCGUGAUGAAGGCCUCGGUUGUAAGAGCUUCGCCACGACGACUGAUGACGUAGUGGAGAAGAAGACCCGCAACUCCGCGCCACGACGAGCCGC